CCACCUUUGACAUGUAUGGAAGUUUCCAGAGAUGGAUUCGUGCUCGAAAGAGAGCCAUAACACAGGUGCUGCAUGGCUGUCGUCAGCUCGUGUCGUGAGAUGUUGGGUUAAGUCCCGCAACGAGCGCAACCCUUGUCAUUAGUUGCUACAUUCAGUUGGGCACUCUAAUGAGACUGCCGGUGACAAACCGGGGGAAGGUGGGGAUGACGUCAAGUCCUCAUGGCCCUUAUGGGUGGGGCUACGCACGUCAUACAAUGGCCGGUACAAAGGGUCGCAAACCCGCGAGGGGGAGCCAAUCCAUCAAAGCCGGUCGUAGUCCGGAUCGCAGUCUGCAACUCGACUGCGUGAAGUCGGAAUCGCUAGUAAUCGUGGAUCAGCAUGUCACGGUGAAUACGUUCCC
rnacentral:rRNA from 1 species